AAUAAAACUAUAUGACAUGCAAAAGACAGUAGCAUGGCGAUUCUCUUCGUCCUUUGCAUCUAGGUGUAACUUCUAUGAAGCCUUCCUGCCCCAGUACAAGAGUUUCAUGUAGAUAAACUAUUAUUCGUCAUAGGCCUCCUACUCGAUACAAGGUUGCAGGUAAACUUCUGAGCAGGUUGAUGUAAGAGUUGCCAUAUAGACUCAUACAGGUUGCAGGAGUGACCGGUUCAAAAGGAUCAUAAGAUGUAGGAGAAAGAAUUUUACCACGCACAAUCCGCUUAACUAUUGAACUCCCAACGUAUGGGUCCAACUGGGUAGAAGCAAGGUGUCUAGGCCGACAUGGACGGGGAACAUAAUCUUCUUUAGAACACAAGACUAACAACUUGUCUAGUGCGGCUGUUAACUUCUUAUCUUUUUCUUUCUCUUCAGGAUCAAACCACUCUGAAUACAAAUCUGGUUCUGGUUUUUUCUUCUUAGUUAAAGGAGUCAACUUUGUGUUUUUGGGUGAUGGUGGUUCCUUUUUUAUGCAUCUUCCAAGGGGAGAAGUCUUAUGAUUA